GCAGAAGUGGCGGAAUGGCAGACGCGCUAGAUUCAGGUUCUAGUGAGGUAACACUCGUGUGGGUUCAACUCCCAUCUUCUGCA
rfam:Coprococcus catus GD/7 draft genome.